GCUCCAAUAGCGUAUAUUAAAGUUGUUGCAGUUAAAAAGCUCGUAGUUGGAUUUCUAGAUAAGUGGGUACUUGUACUUUGCUUGUCUACCAGUCAUAGACUGUUACUGUGAGAAAAUUAGAGUGUUUCAAGCAGGCUGUUGCAGGAAUACAUUAGCAUGGAAUAACGAAUGUGUCUGGAAUAUUGGUUAAUUCUAGAUUA
rnacentral:rRNA from 1 species